rnacentral:misc_RNA from 1 species
GAAAUGCGAUAAGUAAUGUGAAUUGCAGAAUUCAGUGAAUCAUCGAGACCUUGAACGCAAAUUGCGCCCGAGGGAUAUCCCUCGGGCAUGCCUGUUGGAGUGUUGGUUUCAUUUCCAUCACCCCCAUGGGGUGGACAUGAGCAUCAAAGGCUGUCCUUCGUUGCAUCAAAGAAAGAGACACAAAGGCUGGAGAGAUUCCACCCGGUUGGUGACCCUAAGGGGUCCGCACGGCAAUGCCACAGUACCUUCGGGUAACUUUCAUUGCCAGACUCGGGAGAGAUGACUUCGGCCGAGUGGCAAGGAAACUGCCGAAAGGCAAAAAACCUCUUUUCAACCUCCAAUCAGGCAAGGUUACCCGCCGAAUUUAA